rnacentral:rRNA from 1 species
CCCGGUGUAGCGGUGAAAUGCGUAGAUAUCGGGAAGAACACCAGUGGCGAAGGCGCUCUGCUGGGCCAUUACUGACGCUCAUGGACGAAAGCCAGGGGAGCGAAAGGGAUUAGAUACCCCUGUAGUCCUGGCCGUAAACGAUGAACACUAGGUGUCGGGGGAAUCGACCCCUUCGGUGUCGUAGCUAACGCGUUAAGUGUUCCGCCUGGGGAGUACGCACGCAAGUGUGAAACUCAAAGGAAUUGACGGGGGCCCGCACAAGCGGUGGAGUAUGUGGUUUAAUUCGAUGCAACGCGAAGAACCUUACCAGGGUUUGACAUCCUGCGAACCUCUUAGAAAUUUGAGGGUGCCUUCGGGAAUGCAGUGACAGGUGGUGCAUGGCUGUCGUCAGCUCGUGUCGUGAGAUGUUGGGUUAAGUCCCGCAACGAGCGCAACCCACGUUUUUAGUUGCCAGCAUUUAGUUGGGCACUCUAGAAAGACCGCCGGUGAUAAACCGGAGGAAGGUGUGGAUGACGUCAAGUCAUCAUGCCCCUUACACCCUGGGCUACACACGUACUACAAUGCUACGGACAAAGGGCAGCAAACUCGCGAGAGCUAGCAAAUCCCAUAAACCGUGGCUCAGUUCAGAUCGUAGGCUGCAACUCGCCUACGUGAAGUAGGAAUCGCUAGUAGUCGCAGGUCAGCAUACUGCGGUGAAUACGUUCCCGGGCCUUGUACACACCGCCCGUCACACCAUGGAAGUUGGCCAUGCCCGAAGUCGUUACUCCAACCCUUGUGGAGGAGGACGCCGAAGGUGGGGCUAAUGACUGGGGUGAAGUCGUAACAAGGUAACAC